rnacentral:tRNA from 1 species
UAAGAUUUGCAGGACUUUACCCCACAUCUUCUGCAUGCAAAACAGACACUUUCAUUAAGCUAAAACCUUUCUAGAUGAGAAGGCCUCGA